rnacentral:tRNA from 2 species
GGGAGACAAGUGUACCUGGUGGGCACCACAGGCUUCAACCCUGAUUGACGGUUUAUGUGUAAUACGCCGUGGGAGGUUCGAUUCCUUCGUCUUCUCGCCA